GACGUAGGGGGCAAGCGUUGUCCGGAUUUAUUGGGCGUAAAGAGCUCGUAGGCGGUUGCGUAAGUCGGAUGUGAAAACUCAGGGCUCAACCCUGAGACGCCAUCCGAUACUGCGCUGACCCGAAUCCAGUAGGGGAGUGUGGAAUUCCUGGUGUAGCGGUGAAAUGCGCAGAUAUCAGGAGGAACACCCAUGGCGAAGGCAGCACUCUGGGCUGGUAUUGACGAUGAGGAGCGAAAGCAUGGGUAGCGAACAGG
rnacentral:rRNA from 1 species